rnacentral:rRNA from 2 species
CGCUAGCUACAGGCUUAACACAUGCAAGUCGAGGGGCAGCAUGGUCUUAGCUUGCUAAGGCCGAUGGCGACCGGCGCACGGGUGAGUAACACGUAUCCAACCUGCCGUCUACUCUUGGACAGCCUUCUGAAAGGAAGAUUAAUACAAGAUGGCAUCAUGAGUCCGCAUGUUCACAUGAUUAAAGGUAUUCCGGUAGACGAUGGGGAUGCGUUCCAUUAGAUAGUAGGCGGGGUAACGGCCCACCUAGUCUUCGAUGGAUAGGGGUUCUGAGAGGAAGGUCCCCCACAUUGGAACUGAGACACGGUCCAAACUCCUACGGGAGGCAGCAGUGAGGAAUAUUGGUCAAUGGGCGAGAGCCUGAACCAGCCAAGUAGCGUGAAGGAUGACUGCCCUAUGGGUUGUAAACUUCUUUUAUAAAGGAAUAAAGUCGGGUAUGGAUACCCGUUUGCAUGUACUUUAUGAAUAAGGAUCGGCUAACUCCGUGCCAGCAGCCGCGGUAAUACGGAGGAUCCGAGCGUUAUCCGGAUUUAUUGGGUUUAAAGGGAGCGUAGAUGGAUGUUUAAGUCAGUUGUGAAAGUUUGCGGCUCAACCGUAAAAUUGCAGUUGAUACUGGAUAUCUUGAGUGCAGUUGAGGCAGGCGGAAUUCGUGGUGUAGCGGUGAAAUGCUUAGAUAUCACGAAGAACUCCGAUUGCGAAGGCAGCCUGCUAAGCUGCAACUGACAUUGAGGCUCGAAAGUGUGGGUAUCAAACAGGAUUAGAUACCCUGGUAGUCCACACGGUAAACGAUGAAUACUCGCUGUUUGCGAUAUACUGCAAGCGGCCAAGCGAAAGCGUUAAGUAUUCCACCUGGGGAGUACGCCGGCAACGGUGAAACUCAAAGGAAUUGACGGGGGCCCGCACAAGCGGAGGAACAUGUGGUUUAAUUCGAUGAUACGCGAGGAACCUUACCCGGGCUUAAAUUGCAGAUGAAUUACGGUGAAAGCCGUAAGCCGCAAGGCAUCUGUGAAGGUGCUGCAUGGUUGUCGUCAGCUCGUGCCGUGAGGUGUCGGCUUAAGUGCCAUAACGAGCGCAACCCUUGUUGUCAGUUACUAACAGGUUCCGCUGAGGACUCUGACAAGACUGCCAUCGUAAGAUGUGAGGAAGGUGGGGAUGACGUCAAAUCAGCACGGCCCUUACGUCCGGGGCUACACACGUGUUACAAUGGGGGGUACAGAGGGCCGCUACCACGCGAGUGGAUGCCAAUCCCCAAAACCUCUCUCAGUUCGGACUGGAGUCUGCAACCCGACUCCACGAAGCUGGAUUCGCUAGUAAUCGCGCAUCAGCCACGGCGCGGUGAAUACGUUCCCGGGCCUUGUACACACCGCCCGUCAAGCCAUGGGAGCCGGGGGUACCUGAAGUGCGUAACCGCGAGGAGCGCCCUAGGGUAAAACUGGUGACUG